UACGGGGGGAGCAAGCGUUGUUCGGAUUUACUGGGCGUAAAGGGCGCGUAGGCGGCCACCGCAAGUCGACUGUGAAAUCUCCGGGCUUAACCCGGAAAGGUCAGCCGAUACUGCGGGGCUAGAGUGCAGAAGGGGCAACUGGAAUUCUCGGUGUAGCGGUGAAAUGCGUAGAUAUCAGGAGGAACACCGAUGGCGAAGGCAGCUCGCUGGGACGGUACUGACGCUGAGGCGCGAAAGCGUGGGGAGCAAACAGG
rnacentral:rRNA from 1 species